CAUCGGAAUUCGGGAGAAGCUGGCCCGCGCCAGUGCCGAAGGAGCAGCCGCCCCGGCGAACUCUCAGGCAGAAGGACCGUUUUCCGCCA
rnacentral:ncRNA from 1 species